GACGAACGCUGGCGGCGUGCUUAACACAUGCAAGUCGAACGGAAAGGCCCUGCUUUUGUGGGGUGCUCGAGUGGCGAACGGGUGAGUAACACGUGAGUAACCUGCCCUUGACUUUGGGAUAACUUCAGGAAACUGGGGCUAAUACCGGAUAGGAGCUCCUGCUGCAUGGUGGGGGUUGGAAAGUUUCGGCGGUUGGGGAUGGACUCGCGGCUUAUCAGCUUGUUGGUGGGGUAGUGGCUUACCAAGGCUUUGACGGGUAGCCGGCCUGAGAGGGUGACCGGCCACAUUGGGACUGAGAUACGGCCCAGACUCCUACGGGAGGCAGCAGUGGGGAAUAUUGCACAAUGGGCGGGAGCCUGAUGCAGCAACGCCGCGUGCGGGAUGACGGCCUUCGGGUUGUAAACCGCUUUCGCCUGUGACGAAGCGUGAGUGACGGUUAUGGGUAAAGAAGCACCGGCUAACUACGUG
rnacentral:rRNA from 1 species